rnacentral:rRNA from 1 species
GACGAACGCUGGCGGCGUGCUUAACACAUGCAAGUCGAACGGAAAGGCCCUGCUUUUGUGGGGUGCUCGAGUGGCGAACGGGUGAGUAACACGGGAGUAACCUGCCCUUGACUUUGGGAUAACUUCAGGAAACUGGGGCUAAUACCGGAUAGGAGCUCCUGCUGCAUGGUGGGGGUUGGAAAGUUUCGGCGGUUGGGGAUGGACUCGCGGCUUGUCAGCUUGUUGGUGGGGUAGUGGCUUACCAAGGCUUUGACGGGUAGCCGGCCUGAGAGGGUGACCGGCCACAUUGGGACUGAGAUACGGCCCAGACUCCUACGGGAGGCAGCAGUGGGGAAUAUUGCACAAUGGGCGGAAGCCUGAUGCAGCAACGCCGCGUGCGGGAUGACGGCCUUCGGGUUGUAAACCGCUUUCGCCUGUGACGAAGCGUGAGUGACGGUAAUGGGUAAAGAAGCACCGGCUAACUACGUG